rnacentral:lncRNA from 1 species
CAACAGCAUCUAUGUUUGAGUGGACCAUAGAGUGAAAGCGUUCUGAGGUCCUUGUAUCCAGUCGUAUCUAGUCACGUGGUAAUGAAACUGCAGAAAGCCGAAGAGAGAGCCUCUUGAAAGUAAUCCCUUGGUUGAUGAGGGAAAGUUCUUCUUUAUUGAAGAAUCUCAGCUAAUAACUGCAGAAAGAAGGGUAGUAUUGGAAAAUCACCAUUUUGCAGCUCCCUAAUAAAAUAAUGGAUCUAGUCAACAAUCACCAAUGGCUGCAAAACAUCAUUAAGUGAAAAAUUGAUGGGGAACUUUAUAAUGGAUCAAUGGAAAACACCUGAACUCACAGGUCAAUCUUAACUGCAGCAAAAUUUGGAUAACCAGACAUUAUGUGGCUCCUAAUGUGAUGCUAUAGGGAGUAUUCAGCAGCCACCUACGAAACUGUGUUGCCCACCCCCCCAAAAAACUUGAAUCUGAAUCUCAUCAAGGCUCUAGGUCUACCAGUUGACAGGAAAUGUGGAGGAUGACAUCACAAAGAGAUGAUCACCCGAACCCAGAAUGUAGGAAAAUUCUACAAGACAAAUGACCCGGUGUAUUCAUUCAGGUCCCAGCAGGAAACAGAUGGCAUACUCAAAUUAGGUAACUUGAAGAGAGCUUAAUCAAAGGACUAUUUACAAAGAUUUCAGCAGGAUGUAGGGAAACUAGGAGGGAACAAGGGGUAGCAUGGGACCCAGAGCUAAUCACAGCUCCAGAGACAUUACCACUCUGUGGAUGAAGGGACAGGAAAGGGAGCAGAUACUGUAAAAGGGGUACAUGGAGAGAGCAAGAGAGAGGGAAGGGAAGGAGGGAGAGAGAACAAACUAUGUGACGAGGGUCUCAUGACAAGGACUGUGACCUUCAGUUGAAAGACACAACAACCUAGCCAAGAAAUAUUGUACACUGAUGGUCGGAAUAAUGGUUACACUCUAUUUGGAAUAAAAUAGAAAAGGGAGGAAGAAAGAUUUAAUUCUGACAAAAAUAAAUUUAAGAAUCUCUUCUUUUAGCUGCCAGUAUUUCAGCAUGGAACUGAGUGUUGACAGGUGAGGUAUAUUUUACAUCCAGGACUGACGCAAUGGAUUCCAACCUUUGUUGCUGUGUCCACUCCUGGCCCUCAGUCAGUUCUCCACUUAGUAGGCAGUGUCUUUGAAAACUGCAAAUCUGGUCUGGAGGUUAAACUGCUUGAAACAUUUCAGUUGCCCUUCGAUAAAGAUUUUCAGCCUAAUUCAUAGGGCAUUCCAUGAUCUAGCAUUUUCUUGCCCCUCUAGUCCUCCUGCCCUUGAACGGCUUUACCCCAGCCACACUGGCCACCCUCGGAAUGCCAUGAGCUUUCCUCCUAGCAGACAUUCAUGGAUGUGGUUCCUAUGGUCUAUGAGGUGUUUAGGGCUCAGCUGCAGGAAUCAGAAUUCGCUCCAGUUAGCUUAAGCAGAAGGGGACUUAUUAAGGAUAUUGCACAGCUCUGGAAGCAGUGUCAGGCCUGGAAAAGAAGACUAAAGAGAACCUCGAGAGCCUCGGCGGCUUGGCCACUGGAGGAAUUUUUGCCUCUUCUGCCAUCAGGGCGCUGGCAGCCAACCUGGGAAGCUGCCCCUGCAGCUGCUGUCUUCCAGGAUUCGGAAACCACUCAAAUUGGCAAACAGCCACAAUCUAGAAGCUAAACGACCAGGAAGUCACCACGGUCAAGGGGUGCCUCAGGAAAGGCAGAUCUCCUGUUUAUUCACCAGUAAAAGUCACAGAAGGAGGGAGGCGAAGCCACUUGAUCACUUCCGUCUUCUGAAUCCUGAACGAGUGCCUCUGACUGAUGGAGCGAAUUCACGUCCAGAACCUGUCCUACAUGGAAACCUGGGAAAUGUGUUUUUUAGCUUUCCAGUCUACACAUUCUGGAAGGAGGUUGGAGGUGAUAUUGAGUGCCAAAAGACCACGUCUGCCGUAGCCUGGAACCUGGCCCAGUAUUACUCAUCCUUCAGGAGUGGAUACAAUGUUAAGUUUGAAGUAUGGCAGGCCUGCAUACCUUCUGGAAAUGUCCAUCACAUUUUCUUCAGCAGCCUUUAAUGGAACCAAAUUCUCCUGAGAGAAUGACACUUCCCAUUCACUGACUCCAGUAAGGAGCAUCAUUCCCAGGUACUUGACUUUGAGGAGGCUGGAGAUGAAUGAGAUGCUCAGAAGCCUAAAAGACGCAGGAGUGGUCUUUGUUCAGAGGUUGCCCACUGCCCAGUUCUCAGAGCAGACUGAAUCUCAGAGAAGGAACAUUUCCCUUACAGCUCUUGGAUGGAUGUGUUUUGAAAACAGACUUACUUCUCCAAGGAUUUGACCUGACAACUUGUUCGCCUGUGAGGGUUGGAUCUGUGUGGAAGCCUAGCCCUAAUACUGAAAAGUUUUACUUUUCUGAAGAAAGGGACUGAAAGGCAGCUACAUGUUUGGCACAGUAAUGCUAAGGCUCUGGCACAAAAUCAGUCUGUCAGAAGCUCCUUUCCUCUGGAUAGACGGACCAGUGACACUGGAUGGACUAAAGUCUUGUCUCAAAUGAAUGUAGAGCCCACUUCGGGAUUUCCAGCCCCUCUGCCUCUGGCUCCAAAGAACUGGCUUUACCAUUGACGUUGUUAACAGCAAGGUCAGUGACGGGGGAUCAAAGCCCAGGGGAGAAACUGGGGCUGGUCAAGGGGGAGCCACCUGCCACAGAGCUUGGUUUUAACAUCUGUUGUCUAGGGUCACACUUCUCCAAAAGAUACACUACUGUGGUCAAGAUCAAGGUCACAUGGAAAAGAGGACUUUAAAGACAGCAAGUGAGCAUGGGUUGAUCUCAAGAUGAACUGGAACUGAAGAAAUCGAAAUUAGAAACCAAAUGUCCAUAUUUCAGAGAAAAGAACUUUACCAUUGAUCAGUUGCCCUGGGCAGUAAGAAACAGAUCGGGCACAAACUGGCUUAAGCUGGAAGCAAACGAAUUAGUUCACGUAGAAGGUGUCAACAGCAGGGUGGGCUUCAGGGUGGGUGGAUUCAGAGGCUUGAGGGCAUCAUUCUGUUCCUCGGUUCCAUUCUGUCUCUCCUCGCUGUCCUCCAUAGCACCGGCCUCAUGCUAAGUCUGGUUCCCUUGUGUUCGAAUGGUGGCUGCCAAUGGCAGUCGGGACACGUGUUUUCUUUCCCACCCAGGGAGGGAGAAGAAGAGGCUAGAUACCCAUGACACAUUCUUCCCUGGCGUCCCCAGGAGCCUCUGCUCAUGACUCAGGGGCCUCCCGGAGAGGAGAUGGUGGUCCCAGGCUUGCGCAGACCCAUCUGCUGGCGCGGAGUGGAUGUAGCCUCUAGGAUCACACGAAGAGGUUUCAGCUGUGCUGGGGCUUCCCCACUUUCAUGUUCCUUGAGUGUAAACUAAUGGGGCUGUUCUGUUUGUCUAUUGCUAUACAACAAAUGACCCCAAACUUAGUGGCUUGAAGAUACAGUCAUUUUAUUGUAUCUCCCAAUUUACGGGUCAUGAAUUCAGGCAGGACCCAGCUGAGAGAUGCUUCAGCAUCACAUGGCUUGGGCUGGGGUCACUCAGCGGUAUUUGGCUGGCAGCCAGGCUGGUCCGAGGGUCCUAGGAUGUCAUCACUCACAUGAUUGGCACCCUAGCGAUACUGGGGGCUGGGCUCAGGUGGGCGCCUCUCCCUCAUUGUGUGGGCCCUCUCCUUGUGGUCUCUCCAGCGGAGGAGCUGAACUUCUCACGUGGUGGCUCAGUUUGCUACACAGCUGCAAGUGACAGAGAAAUUGUGAAAUACAAGAUGAUUCCCAAUGAUUUGACAUGUCAUCUCCACUGUCCAUAAUAAACAAAAAGAAACGGGCAUUCAAUUUUAAUAAUAGAUGCUUUGUUUUUCUCCAUGCCCCCUAAAUAGAUGUGUCCAUUUUUAAAAUAUCUGUUUGAAGAGAUGCCGCUUUGCCAUACUGUCCAGGGUGCCGGCGUCGCUGGCUCACCCUGUAUGGUAUGACUGUGGGGUUAUCUUUCCUUCCCAUCACCCCUGCUUGGUCUAGGGCAUCAUCACGUCUCCCAUGCUAUCCCAGUAGCCUCCAUCUGACCCUCUGGCACCAGUCUCACCCUCUUCCACUCAUCCUCUACAUGUUUUCCAGUGUGAUUUUUCUGAAACAAAUCUGCUCAGACCAUUCUCUUGUCUAAAGUCACUAUGGGGUUCUCUUUUACCAACCAGAUAAAAUUCACUCUUGAGUAUGGC